rnacentral:rRNA from 1 species
ACUCAAAGGAAUUGACGGGGGCCCGCACAAGCGGUGGAGCAUGUGGAUUAAUUCGUCACUAACCGAAGAACCUUACCCAGGUUUGACAUCCGGCGCACCGGUGUGAAAGCAUCGUACCCUUCGGGGACGCCGAGACAGGUGUUGCAUGGCUGUCGUCAGCUCGUGUCGUGAGAUGUUGGGUUAAGUCCCGCAACGAGCGCAACCCUCACCUGAUGUUGCCAGCGUAAAGUCGGGAACUCUUCAGGAACUGCCCGUGCAAGCGGGAGGAAGGUGGGGAUGACGUCAAGUCGGCAUGGCCCUUACACCUGGGGCUUCACACAUGCUACAAUGGUCGCUACAAAGAGCUGCGAGACCGCGAGGUGGAGCAAAUCUCAAAAAAGCGUCCUCAGUUCGGAUUGCAGGCUGCAACUCGCCUGCAUGAAGCCGGAAUCGCUAGUAACCGCAGGUCAGCGAAACUGCGGUGAAUACGUUCCCGGGCCUUGUACACACCGCCCGU